UACGGAGGGAGCUAGCGUUGUUCGGAAUUACUGGGCGUAAAGCGCGCGUAGGCGGCUUUGUAAGUUAGAGGUGAAAGCCCGGGGCUCAACCCCGGAACUGCCUUUAAGACUGCAUCGCUUGAAUCCAGGAGAGGUGAGUGGAAUUCCGAGUGUAGAGGUGAAAUUCGUAGAUAUUCGGAAGAACACCAGUGGCGAAGGCGGCUCACUGGACUGGUAUUGACGCUGAUGUGCGAAAAGCGUGGGGAGCAAACAGG
rnacentral:rRNA from 1 species